rnacentral:misc_RNA from 1 species
GGGAGGCAGCCGGCCACGGUAGGGUCAGCGACUGGGGUGAAGUCGUAACAAGGUAGCCGUAGGGGAACCUGCGGCUGGAUCACCUCCUUUCUAAGGAUGGUUCUUCAGAAGCUUGCUUCUAUCGAACCGUUUUAGAAACAUCAGUGGCCAACGGUCGUCAGGAUCGUUGAGCUGCAUUGGCGGGAUUUCGCCGUCUUCGUUUCUCUUUCUUCGCGGACGAACACGCGCUGGGGCUGCAACCUUGCAGAAUCCCUGGUCCUUGACUGGAUAUGCGUUAGGGGCUUGUAGCUCAGUUGGUUAGAGCGCGCGCUUGAUAAGCGUGAGGUCGGAAGUUCAAGUCUUCCCAGGCCCACCACACUCAUCGAGUGAGCAUUCGUCUUCUGGUUACGGGGCCAUAGCUCAGCUGGGAGAGCGCGUGCUUUGCAAGCAUGAGGUCGUCGGUUCGAUCCCGUCUGGCUCCACCAGAUGGUUUGAUCACCGACUAUCCAUACCGUCGUCCGCGAAACAUCACUUCGCACUUACUAGUCCGGAUGGACAGUAAGCUGCGUGAUUUCUGACAUCGUAAAGAGGAGAUCGAUCCGAGUUGGAUCGGGCAACAAGUAAUUGCUGCGCGAUACUUCAUUAUCUCCGGAUCAUUUCGGCGCUCGUGCGUCUUCCAGGGUAGCUCACAAGGCUGCAUCUAAAGGACAAGCGAGUUGUAAAUGAUCCUUUUAGCGAAGCUUGACCGCCUCGCUAUCGGAACGAUCUUACGAAGCAAGCUGGUCUUUCUAAUCAUUGUCCGGCUGCAGAUUGCGUUCAUCGAGGGCGCGUGCCUUAGAGACUU